rnacentral:rRNA from 1 species
AUUGAACGCUGGCGGCAUGCCUUACACAUGCAAGUCGAACGGCAGCACGGGUGCUUGCACCUGGUGGCGAGUCGCGAACGGGUGAGUAAUACAUCGGAACAUGUCCUGUAGUGGGGGAUAGCCCGGCGAAAGCCGGAUUAAUACCGCAUACGAUCUACGGAUGACAGCGGGGGACCUUCGGGCCUCGCGCUAUAGGGUUGGCCGAUGGCUGAUUAGCUAGUUGGUGGGGUAAAGGCCUACCAAGGCGACGCUCAGUAGCUGGUCUGAGAGGACGACCAGCCGCACUGGGACUGAGACACGGCCCAGACUCCUACGGGAGGCAGCAGUGGGGAAUUUUGGACAAUGGGCGAAAGCCUGAUCCAGCAAUGCCGCGUGUGUGAAGAAGGCCUUCGGGUUGUAAAGCACUUUUGUCCGGAAAGAAAUCCUUGGCCCUAGUACGGUCGGGGGAUGACGGUACCGGAAGAAUAAGCACCGGCUAACUACGUG